UACGUAGGGUGCAAGCGUUAAUCGGAAUUACUGGGCGUAAAGGGUGCGUAGGCGGUUCUGCAAGUCAGAUGUGAAAGCCCUGGGCUUAACCUGGGAAUGGCAUUUGAAACUACGGAACUAGAGUGUAGCAGAGGGAGGUGGAAUUCCACGUGUAGCAGUGAAAUGCGUAGAGAUGUGGAGGAACACCGAUGGCGAAGGCAGCCUCCUGGGCUAACACUGACACUCAGGCACGAAAGCGUGGGGAGCAAACAGG
rnacentral:rRNA from 1 species